rnacentral:rRNA from 1 species
AUCGAUGAAGAACGCAGCGAAAUGCGAUAAGUAAUGUGAAUUGCAGAAUUCAGUGAAUCAUCGAAUCUUUGAACGCACAUUGCGCCCCUUGGUAUUCCGAGGGGCAUGCCUGUUCGAGCGUCAGUUGACCGAUCAAGCCUGGCUUGGUAUUGGGGCUCGCCUUCUAGCGGCCUCUAAACUCAGUGGCGGUGCCGUUGGGCUCUAAGCGUAGUAAUACUCCUCGCUACAGGGUCCCACAGUUGCUUGCCAUAACCCAAAUUUUAUACUGGUUGACCUCGGAUCAGGUAGGGAUACCCGCUGAACUUAAGCAUAUCAAUAAGCGGAGGAAAAGAAACCAACAGGGAUUGCCUCAGUAACGGCGAGUGAAGCGGCAACGGCUCAAAUUUGAAAUCUGACUCUUUCAAGGUCCGAGUUGUAAUUUGUAGAAGAUGCUUCGAGUGUCGACCCGGUCUAAGUUCCUUGGAACAGGACGUCAUAGAGGGUGAGAAUCCCGUAUGUGACUGGUGUCGUCGCUCAUGUGAAGCUCUUUCGACGAGUCGAGUUGUUUGGGAAUGCAGCUCAAAAUGGGUGGUAUAUUUCAUCUAAAGCUAAAUAUUGGCCAGAGACCGAUAGCGCACAAGUAGAGUGAUCGAAAGAUGAAAAGCACUUUGGAAAGAGAGUUAAACAGUACGUGAAAUUGUUGAAAGGGAAGCGCUUGCAACCAGACUUGCACGCUGUCGAUCAUCCGGGGUUCUCCCCGGUGCACUCGGCUGUGUUCAGGCCAGCAUCGGUUUAGGUGGUUGGAUAAAGGCCUUGGGAAUGUAGCUUCUUUCGGGGAGUGUUAUAGCCCUCGGUGCAAUGCAGCCUACCUGGACCGAGGACCGCGCUUCGGCUAGGAUGCUGGCGUAAUGGUUGUAAGCGACCCGUCUU